rnacentral:lncRNA from 1 species
UCCGUUUUAACCUUUUUACGCAUAAUAAAGAUUUCUCAUAUCAUUAAUAUGUAAACAUUUCACAUUCUUGAAGUUCAAACCAUCCAUACCCCAUUUUAAAAAUAUCUUUUGCUUUUACUCGCAAAUUCGAGAUUUAAAUGAUUAGUUUAUACCUUUUAUAGUAAAGCACGACUUACUAUAUCAUUUCCUUUAUUUACAUUAUUUUUAUACCUUUUU